UAUUCCAUGAAUUCUUUGUGGAAAGUUAUUUCUUGUAAAAUAGCAUGCUUACAAGGUUGAAGGGGUAAAGAAUAUUGAUCUUGUGGUUGCAGUGCAGAUGAAAGUGUAGCCUGAAAUGUGCCAGUGUGCAGCAGCAAUGGAGGAGGGUUAUUAAAGGUCACCAGCAGGGAGUAGCAAAAGGCUGCUUCCAGAUAGUAUUUACAGGCUGGGUGCAAUGGCUCAUGCCUGUAAUCCCAGCACUUUGGGAGGCCGAGAUGGGCGAACCACCUGAGAUCGGAAGUUUGAGACCAUCCUGUCCAAAAUGGUGAAACUUGGUCUCUACAAAAAAAUACAAAAAUUAGCGAGGCAUGAUGGCAGGUGUCAAUAAUCUUAGCUACUUGGGAGGCUGAGGCAGGAGGAUUACUAGAACCUGGGAGGUGGAGGUUGCAGUGAGCUGAGAUCAUGCCACUGCACUCCAGCCUGGGUGACAGAGCAAGACUCUGUCUCAAAAAAAAAAAAUACUACUUAGGUUGUAUUCUUUAUCUUCUAUAAUAAUUUUCUUUCUGUGUCUUCCUAAGGGUAUUAAAAAAAAGUUUUAUCUUUUAGGAUCUUUGAAGAUCUUUUUUAGGACCGAAACUUUGAAGCACGUUCAAAUGACUUUUAUGUGGAAGGACUACCGGAAAACAUUCCUUUCAGAAGUCCCUUGUGAUAUGGAAUUCCAAGGCUGGAAAACAUCAGUCAAGUGGGCAACUGAAUUAAAUUUUUAUUAAAAGAGAUGGGAUCAUGCUGUGUCGCCCUGGAUGGUCUUUAACUCCUGGCCUCGAGUGGUCCUCCUGCCUCAGCCUCCCAAAGUUCUGGGAUUAUAUGCAGAGUCUUGCUCUGUCACCCUGGCUGGAGUAUAGUGGUAUGAUCCUGGCUCACUGCAACCUCUGCUUCCUGGGUUCACGCAAUUCUCCUUCCUCAGCCUCCUGA
rnacentral:lncRNA from 1 species